rnacentral:tRNA from 1 species
GCGCCUGUAGCUCAAUCGGAUAGAGCGCCGGACUUCGAAUCCGUAGGUUGCAGGUUCGAGUCCUGCCAGGCGCGCCA